ensembl:lncRNA
GUCGGCAUGGCUUCAGCGCAGAUGAAUCUAAUGUUCUGAAGAGUAAGUGUGGCAGACUGGCAGUCAGUCACUGCACCGGUGUGGAUAUUUAUUAGUGAUGCACGAUAAAUAUCGGCACAACAUUUAAUGCGCAUCUCAUCAGUAAAGCUGGUUCUCUCUUAGUGUGAAUCACUAAACUAGUAUUUAGGUGUAUGACCACAGUUUUUUUAAAACUGCUUCACAUCUGUGUGGCAUGGAGUCAACCAACUUGUGUCACCUCUCAGGUGUUAUUCCACUCCAUGAUUCUUUAACAACAUUCCACAAUUCAUUUACAUUUAUUGGUUUUGCUUCUCGAUUGGAUUAAGGUCCGGGGGUUGGGCUGGCCACUCCAUAACAUUAAUUUUGUUGGUUUGGAACCAAGACUUUGCUCGUUUACUAGUGUGUUUGGGGUCAUUGUUUUGUUGAAACAACCAUUUCAAGGGCAUGUCCUCUUCAGCAUAAGGCAACAUGUCCUCUUCAAGUAUUUUGACAUAUGCAAACUGAUCCAUGAUCCCUGGUAUGCGAUAAAUAGGCCCAACACCAUAGUAGGAGAAACAUGCCCAUAUAAUGAUGCUUGCACCACCAUGCUUCACUGUCUUCACUGUGUACUGUGGCUUGAAUUCAGAGUUUGGGGGUCGUCUCACAAACUGCCUGUGGCCCUUGGACCCAAAAAGAACAAUUUUACUCUCAUCAGUCCACAAAAUGUUCCUCCAUUUCUCUUUAGGCCAGUUGAUGUGUUCUUUGGCAAAUUGUAACCUCUUCUGCACAUGCCUUUUUUUAACAGAGGGACUUUGCGGGGGAUUCUUGAAAAUAGAUUAGCUUCACACAGACGUCUUCUAACUGUUACAGUACUUACAGGUAACUCCAGACUGUCUUUGAUCAUCCUGGAGCUGAUCAUUGGCUGAGCCUUUGCCAUUCUGGUUAUUCUUCGAUCCAUUUUGAUGGUUGUCUUCCGUUUUCUUCCACGUCUCUCUGGUUUUGCUCUCCAUUUUAAGGCAUUGGAGAUCAUUUUAGCUGAACAGCCUAUCAUUUUUUGCACCUCUUUAUAGGUUUUCCCCUCUCCAAUCAACUUUUUAAUCAAAUUUUUUUUGUUUUUGGUGGAAGCUUUGCGUUUGUUUAGCUAAUAAAAUAUUAAAACUUGAUUCA